GUACAAUGAUGACAUUCUUAGGACACCUUUGGAGGUUUGACCAAUGAAACUAAAACACAGCCUGAGUACG